rnacentral:lncRNA from 1 species
AUGUCAGGGCUAAGUGUCCACGAGAGAAUCCCAUCAAUUGACAGCGGCUUCCACAAUGCUCCUGAUCAGAGGCGUCAUGAAGGCGGUUCCAGCUGCCGAUUACAUAAUCAGCUGCCGCUUGACGGCUUGGUGGUGUCAUGGAAACGGGACGGGCGUUGGCUGGCCGGUGGGCGUCGGCUCAUUAUUCCCUCCCCCACCUCUUCUGACUCCGGGUUAUAUGUUUGUGAGGCGUUGCUUAGCAACAGCACUGCCAAACCUGCGGAGGCAAGGGCACACAUCACCGUAAUGGAACCGCCCGCUCUGACUGCAGAACCCAAGACGAAGAUCCUCGCGGAGCUCGACAAGAAUGUAGACAUCCCGUGUGUUGCUACAGGCGUGCCCCAGCCCAGGGUGGAGUGGUAUAAGGACGCUGUGCCUCUCUCCAAACUGGCCAACCCCCGCUACAAGGUCACCGCCGCGGCCGGGCUGACGGUGCGCAGGGUGCAGCCGGGGGACGGGGGCAUAUUCCAGUGCAUCGCCCGCAGCGCUGCCGGAGAGAGCCAGGCGCACACGCAGCUCCUCGUCUCCAGUGUGGCCCCUACAUUUACAUCCCCCCCAUCUGACCGAACAGUAACUGAUGGAAACACAGCCCUGUUUAGCUGCCAGACGAGCGGCGCCCCAAAGCCUGCCAUCACCUGGAGGAAAGGAUUGCUGGUCUUAGCCAGCGGCUCCGUCCAGGUUCCCAGGUUCACGCUGUUGCAGACGGGCGGUUUGCAGAUUCAGCCAGUCAGCUUCCAGGAUUCAGGAGAAUACACCUGCAUCGCCUCCAACUCAGAGGGAACCAUCAAUACCACAGCUACACUCACUGUGUGGAGUCGUACAGUCAUUUCUGUGCCUCCAACGGAUCAGCGAGUUAUCAAAGGAACCACCGCUACUCUGAUCUGCAACGCUACGCGUGACCCCCGAGUCGAUAUCAGCGGGGGCCGUGUUUCUGUGCGUCAGGGCUCCCUCACUAUCGGUCAGACGUGGUCAGGUGACAUCGGGGACUACACCUGCACGGUGACAUCACAGGCCGGCAACGACUCUCGCUCUGCGCGCCUUGAAGUCAUAGAGCUGCCACACUCCCCUCGCUCCCUGACGGCCCACCUCAACGACUCCGAUUCCCGCUCCGUCCUCCUGUCCUGGCUGCGACCCUUCGACGGGAACUCCCCUCUCCUUCACUACGUGCUGGAGCUGUCUGAGAACAACUCCCCAUGGAAGGUCUACUUACCAGAGGUGGAUCCAGCUGUGACCAAUGUGUCGGUGGGCGGGCUCACGCCGGCCCGGACCUAUCAGUUCAGGCUCUGUGCUGUCAAUCAGGUGGGCCGGGGUCAGUACAGCUCAGAGACUCAGAGAUUAAUGCUGCGAGAGGAGGCGCCGAGUGCUCCUCCGAAGAAUAUCGUGGCCAGUGGGCGGACGAACCAGUCCAUCAUGGUCCAGUGGCAGCCUCCGCCGGAACCGCAGCUCAACGGAGUCCUGCGAGGAUACGUACUCAGGUACCGUCUUGCAGGGCUGCCAGGAGACUACCAGGAGAAAAACAUCAGCAGCCCAGAGACUAACUACUGUCUGCUGAAGGACCUGAUCAUCUGGACCCAAUACCAGAUCCAGGUGGCGGCCUACACCGGAGCGGGCCUGGGCGUCUACAGCAGCCCUGUCACAGAGUACACUCUGCAGGGAGUUCCCACAGCUCCUCCGCAGGAAGUGGAAGUUGUAGCUAUCAACUCGACAACCAUCCGCUUCACAUGGAACCCUCCACCUCAGCAGUUUAUUAAUGGCAUCAAUCAAGGCUACAAGCUGCUGGUGUGGCCGGAGCAGUCUCCAGAGGACGUCACCGUGGUGACCAUCACCCCCGACUACCCCGGCUCGCGGCACACGGGCUUGGUCAGCGGUCUCAGGAAGUUCACCUGGUACUUUGGCUCCACCCUCUGCUUCACGACGCCUGGGGACGGACCCCGCAGCCCCCCCACGCUGCUGCAGACGCACGAGGACGCUCCUGGACCUGUUCGGGACCUCAGCUUCACUGAAAUCUUGGACACCUCCCUUCGAGUCAGCUGGUCGGAGCCUGAAGACAAGAAUGGCAUCAUCACUGGCUACGUGCUGUGGUGGGACGUUCCUGAUGUGGAGUCGAGUCGUGAGGAACGCUCCCUGUCCAACUCCACUCUGCGGUACCAGGUGACCGGCCUCACCUCCACCACCGCCUACAAACUGCAAGUGGCGGCGCUCACCGCCGCAGGACGGGGCGUGGUCACGUCCUCCACCAUCUCCACCGGCGUCCCACCAGAACUUCCAGGCGCUCCCUAUAAUUUAGUCAUCUCCAACAUCAGCCCUCGGACAGCGACGCUUCGAUUCCACCCCGGCCCGGACGGAAAGACAGCGAUCUCACGGUGGAUCGUAGAGGGACAGGUGUGUGAGCGUGGAAAGGAGGAGCCCUGGAGAGUUGUGUAUCAGAAAGACAAUCAGCCAGACGCUGACACGCUGGAGAUCCCUAACCUCACCCCAUUCACUCAGUACCGGUUCAGGAUGCAGCAGGUGAACGUUGUGGGUCCCAGUCCUGUGAGCGCCCCCUCCAGGACGAUUCAGACACUACAGGCAGCCCCGGACACGCACCCCUCCAACCUCACGCUGCUGUCCGCCACACAGACCAGCCUGCGCCUCAGCUGGAAGCCUCUUCAAAGGUCUGAGUACCACAGCAGCCCGGACACGGUGGGCUACCGGCUGCGCGUGUGGAGGACAGACGGGCAGGGGGACGACAGGACCGAGGACGUGGACGGAGCAGCGGAGUCCAGCGAGGACGCCGUGGAGGGUCUUAGUCCCUGGACCCAGUACCAGCUUCAGAUACAGGCCUACAACUCCAUCGGACCCGGACCCUGGAGCGGCACUGUCGCUGCACGCACUGCAGAAUCUGUUCCAUCUGGAUCACCGGUGAAUGUGACUGCUGAGGCGAUGAGUUCCACCAGGAUCCUGCUCACGUGGUCCCCGGUCCCUCAGGCCCAGAAGAAUGGCGUCAUCCUGGGAUAUAAGGUGUUGUACAACGAGAAAGACUCGGAGGGUCCCCCCAGAGUUCGCGACGCACAAGGAGAGGGCAGCUCCUCCGUGCUCCUCGAGGGUCUCCAGAAGUACACGGCGUAUGUGCUGCAGGUGCUGGCACACACGCGGAUGGGCGACGGCCCUCCCAGCAGCGCCAUCCUGCUCUGGACCAGAGAGGACGUCCCAGGCCCCCCUGUCAGGAUGGUGUUCCCAGAGGUUCGAUUGUCAUCAGUCAGGGUGGUUUGGCAGCCACCCACGAAGCCCAAUGGCAACAUACUGGGCUACCAGAUCUCCUACCGCCUCGACAGCAGGGACCCUCUGCGUUGGACCACAGUGGAGGUGGGCUCCACUGGUCGCCAGUUCACCGUCACAGGGCUCUCCCCUGAGCAGAGCUACGUGUUCCGACUCACCGCCCGCACCGCCGUGGGCUGGGGCGACGCGCAGGAGGCGGUGGUCGUCACCACGGAACGCCGAGAGCGUCCGCAGCCGCCCAGGAAGCUGUCGGUUCCUCAGGACGGCGUUGAGUCUCGCCACCUGCUCCUCCACUGGGUGACGGGCGGCUCGGGCUCCUCCCCCCUGCGCUACCUCACCCUGCAGGUCAAGGAGCUGCCGAGCGGCGAGUGGAGCGUGCACGCCGCCGAUAUCCCACACAACGCGACCGCCUGGACCGUGGACCGGCUGAAGCCCUUCACAUCUUACAAGUUCCGUCUGCUGGCAACCAACGACAUAGGAGACAGCCUCCUCAGCAAAGAGACAGAGCCCGUUACAACUCUGCAGGAUGUGCCUGAUGAACCUCCAGUGAUCCUCGCAGUGAAGCCUACAACUACUACCUCAGUCCUGGUGCAGUGGAAGCGGCCCAGUGACGACAGCACCAACGGAGUUCUGACUGGAUACCGGCUCUAUUACCGAGAGCUUCCAGCAAACGGCUCCAGCUCCACCCAAAGCACCUUCAAGACCGUCAGCAGUGCCUCGCUGACGGAGUUCGAGUUGACGCAGCUGAAGAAGUUCCGACGUUACCAGAUUGUGAUGACGAGCUACAACAUCAUCGGGGAGAGUCCGCCCUCGGCGCCGGUGGAGGUCUCUGUCGGAGAGGCAGCUCCGUCCGUGGCCCCUCAGUCGAUCAGAGUGUCAGCCGUGUCUCCCUCAGUCCUGGAAGUGACCUGGGCCUCACCGCCCAUCGAGACCCAGAACGGACUCAUCCAAGGAUACAAGAUCCACUACUGGGAGAAGGACAAACAGAACCAGACUGAGAAGGUGAAGGUGAUCUUCGUCCCGGACACUCGCGUGCAUCUCACCAACCUGAGCAGCUUCACGCCUUUCCUGGUCACGCUGAGCGCCUUCAACACGGCUGGAGACGGACCCCCCAGCGAGCCCCGUGGAGCCAAGACCAUGCAGUCCGCUCCCAGCCAGCCCAGCUACCUGUCCUUCACGGAGGUGACAGGCGUGAGCGCCAACGUGUCCUGGGGAGCUCCGCUCGCUCCCAACGGGCAGCUGGAGGGCUACAGGGUCAUCUACCAGCCCACGGCGCCCGUGCAAGGCGUGAGUAAAGUGGUGACGGUGGACGUGAAGGGGAGCUGGCAGCGGUCGCUGAAGGUCCGGGACCUGGUGAGAGGAGCGACGUACAUGUUCAGUGUUCAGGCCCUCACAGUCAGCUACGGACCCCCGUUACAGGCCAACCUGACUGCUCACCCUGUGCAAGGCUCUCCGGGUUCACCUGUGGACAUGUCCAUAACCAAGACGUCCUCUGAGCUGAACAUCCACUGGUCUGAGGGCGACAGCGGCGCAGCCCCUGUGAGCGGAUACGUGGUAGAAGCUCGUCCCUCGGAUGAAGGCCUGUGGGAAUCCUUCAGCCGACCCCUCCCCGCCAGCAGCAGGUCCAUUUCAGUGCCACUGGAGCGCCUGAGGUCAGGGAUCAGCUACGAGUUCCGGGUCGUUGCUGUUAAUCGCUAUGGUUACGGGGAGCCCAGUACACCCUCAGCUUCGCUCGCUGCGCUGUCGGAGCGCCCGUUCUACGAGGAGUGGUGGUUCCUGCUGGUCAUGGCUCUGGUGGGGCUCAUCCUCAUUCUGGUCCUGGUCUUCACACUGCUGCUGCACGGACACAGCACCAAGUACAAGGCCUGUGGCACCGGGAAGCACAUGUCCACAGCAGAGGAGUCUGUAACUCUGGACAAUGGCGGAUUCACAGCGCUGGAGCUCAACAGCAGAACACUCAACACCAAGAACUCCUUCCUGAAGAAGAAUGGCACCAGGUCUCCUCCCAGGCCGAGUCCAGGCGGUCUUCACUACUCUGACGAGGACAUCUGUAACAACUACAACGGAGCCGUCCUCACAGAGAGCACCACACUGACUGAGAAGCAGACGGAGGUCUCUGAGUCUGAGCUCACAGACAGCGACUAUGAGGACGAGCAGCCAAAGCACUCCUUCGUCAACCACUACAUGAGCGACCCCACCUACUACAACUCCUGGAAGCGGCAGCCCAAAGGCCUUAAAGCCAUCGGCACUUCGUUCGGCUACGAGGAAUGUGCCACUGCAGACUCGGAGCCCUACUACCAGACCGUGCCUGUGCACACGCACGUCAACCCCAACACCAACCCGCCGGGGUCACGCACCCCAGUCACAGGGUUCUCCUCCUUCGUUUGA